rnacentral:rRNA from 1 species
UGCGUAGGCGGGUCUUUAAGUCAGGGGUGAAAUCCUGGAGCUCAACUCCAGAACUGCCUUUGAUACUGAAGAUCUUGAGUUCGGGAGAGGUGAGUGGAACUGCGAGUGUAGAGGUGAAAUUCGUAGAUAUUCGCAAGAACACCAGUGGCGAAGGCGGCUCACUGGCCCGAUACUGACGCUGAGGCACGAAAAGCGUGGGAGCAAACCA